rnacentral:tRNA from 1 species
AGGUGGCAUGGCCAAGUGGUAAGGCAGGAGCCUGCAAAGCUCCUAUCCCCAGUUCGAAUCUGGGUGCCACCUU